UUCCGCCAGAUCGUUCCAUUGAAAAGUACAUCACUUACGUAGACGGCUUGUCACCACUGCCAAUCUGGGGCCUCCCGCGCGACCUUUCUGCCAUUGACGAAUCAAGAUUCGCUCGCAGAUACGCUAGAGCCAAGAGCUACGCCACAACGUCGUGGGUUUUGGUCAACUCGUUCGAAGAACUCGAGGGCAGUGCCACCUUCCAAGCCCUCCGAGACAUCUCUCCCAAAGCAAUCGCAGUGGGUCCUCUUUUCACCAUGGUCCCCGGCUCCAACAAGGCAAGCUUGUGGAAGGAAGACACCGAGAGUUUAUCCUGGCUCGGCAAGCAAAGUCCCGGCUCGGUUCUCUACAUUUCCUUGGGCAGCAUGGCGACUCUCAGCUUCGAUCAGUUCAAGGAGUUCUCCGAGGGACUGACGCUUCUCCAGCGUCCGUUUAUCUGGGCCAUCCGACCCAAGUCGGUCGCCGGCAUGGAGCCCGAGUUCCUGGAGCGUUUCAAGGAGGCCGUGAGGAGCUUUGGACUGGUUGUGAGCUGGGCUCCUCAGGUGGACAUCCUCCGCCACCCUUCCACGGCUGGAUUUCUCAGUCACUGCGGCUGGAACUCCAUCCUCGAGAGCGUAGCAUCCGCGGUGCCCAUGCUUUGCUGGCCGUGCGUCGCGGAGCAGAAUCUAAACUGCAAGUUGAUAGUGGAGGACUGGAAGAUCGGUCUCAAGUUCUCGUGCGUGACCAUGCUGGAUCCUCCCGAGGUGAUGGCGAGGGACGAGUUUGUGGAGGUGGUGGAGCGAUUCAUGGGAACUGACAGUGAGCAUUUGAGGAUUAACGUGAAGAAGCUGAGCGAGGAGGCUCGUAGAGCAGUGUCUAGUGGUGGCUCCUCGUAUGAAAACCUGGAGAGAUUUGCUCAAGCAGUGAAAAUUUCCUAAACUUCAAUCCACGGCUAAGAGAAAACUUCAAAGCAUCUACUCUACUCAAGAAUAUACUACUCUUUCUCUCUCUCUCUGAAGAUAAGCACGCGCUUUGCGCGUAUAAUGGGUUCCAAGAUCAAUGUUGUGGCGAUUCCUUUCCCCUCUCCACUCUUGCAUCUCUGCCAAGCUCUCACUUUCAUCCUUUGGGGGAUGCUAUCUCGAAAACACGCAACCACGAGGGAAUGUGUUAGACUUUGUCAUGUGCAAGAACCCAUGGCUAAUGUGUUAAUGUAGACUCCAAGGUGAUGCCUUAUGUCAGAAACUGCUGCGAGGAAAAGAAACUAAAGAAAAACAAAGAAAAAAUAAUAAGUGUAAAGUUCUGGAGUUAAAAAGGAAUCACAUGAGGAAACUUGAUAAAAGAAUUAAACACUAAAAAAUGAAAAAACAAAGUGAAAAAAGCUGAAGAGUAAGGAACAGCUUAUAGAAAUACUAACAAGAUUGGAAGAGCUCUAGAGGCCAGUUAUAAUGGCCAUUUGUCUCAAGUUGGUCCCUGGCAUAGAGCCCGAGUUCCUGGAGGCUUUCAAGGCUCUCCUUGAAAGUGAUCAGCUUUGGAUUGGUUGUGAGCUGGGCUCCUCAACUGGAAAUCCUCCAGCAUCUUUCCACAAGCUGCGAGAGUGUAUCUUCAGCAGUGCCAAUCCUUUGCUGGCCAUGAGUUGCCAAGCAGAAUCUCAACUGCAAGCUUAUAGUGGAAGACUGGAAGAUCGAUCUUAAGUUCUCGCCCAUGAGAUAUCCUCGCAAGGUGGUGGCAGGGACGAGUUUGUGGAGGUGGUGGAGCAACUCAUGGGAGCUGCGAGUGGCAAUUCCUUUAGAUGUAAUGUGAAGGAGCUCAGCGAGGCUGCUCAGGGAGCAACAGUGAAAGAAGGCAGGAUCUUCAUAUGAAAGUUUGGACAAGUUCGUCAAGUUUCAUAAGGUAAUUUAUAUCCAAUGCCGCAGCUGGUGGCAGGACGAUCAUCGGGCAUGAGGGCGGGGCCAAUGCACAGACAGACCAACCACCAAGAGCACAUAAAGAUGAUACUUGAAAGUGUAUAGGUUGGUGGAAGUGUUAUUUUCCUUCCCAAAGAAAUAGAUGGCGUAAUCAAGAGGAGUAAAACAUUCCUGAAGGAGAACACUAGAUUAAAACCUUUGCAAAACGCACUGAUUCUUAAGCUCAGCCUUGGAGCGAUUUCAAGCUUAUCCAGAAAAGGUAUUGUGAGAAACGGCAGCACCUUCCAGAGCACUCACGAAGUAAGCUUGAAUUUUCUUUGUUCUUCGUCAAUGGGUUCUUCUACUGGUGCCGAGGGGCUCGCUCCUCACGCAGCGGUUCUUCCCAUUCCAACGCUACGCCACAUCACUCCAUUCCUCCAUCUCUCCAGAGCUCUGGCCUCGCGAGGCUUCGUCAUAACUUUCAUCAACACGGAGGGCAACCACAGGGACUUGAAGGACAUCGUUUCACAGGAGGAGAGCUUUGGCUAUGGCGGCGGCAUUCGCUUCGAGACGGUCCCGGGCAUCCAAGCGAGCGACGUCGACUUCGCGGUCCCGGAGAAGCGGGGGAUGUUGUCCGAGGCAGUGAUGGAGAUGCAGGCUCCAGUGGAAAGCUUGCUCAUCAGGAACAUGGCCAGAGACGAUGAUCUCGUUCCUCCGGUCUCGUGCUUCAUCUCGGAUAUGUUCCCGUGGUCCGCGGAAGUAGCAAGAAGGACUGGAAUCCCAGAGGUCAAGUUCUGGAUCGCCAGUGCCUCUUGCGUUUUGCUCGAUUGCUCGUUUCCGCGAAUGCUGGAGAAGGGAGACGUUCCAGUCCAAGGUAAAGCUUCUUUCUUCUUUUUUAUUUGUCCUUCUUUCGAGAAGCACUAACGUGUUCCGCCAGAUCGUUCCAUUGAAAAGUACAUCACUUACGUAGACGGCUUGUCACCACUGCCAAUCUGGGGCCUCCCGCGCGACCUUUCUGCCAUUGACGAAUCAAGAUUCGCUGGCAGAUACGCUAGAGCCAAGAGCUUCGCCACAACGUCGUGGGUUUUGGUCAACUCGUUCGAAGAACUCGAGGGCAGUGCCACCUUCCAAGCCCUCCGAGACAUCUCUCCCAAAGCAAUCGCUGUGGGUCCUCUUUUCACCAUGGCCCCCGGCUGCAACAAGGCAAGCUUGUGGAAGGAAGACACCGAGAGUUUAUCCUGGCUCGGCAAGCAAAGUCCCGGCUCGGUUCUCUACAUUUCCUUGGGCACCAUCGCGACUCUCAGCUUCGAUCAGUUCAAGGAGUUCUCCGAGGGACUGAGGCUUCUCCAGCGUCCGUUUAUCUGGGCCAUCCGACCCAAGUCGGUCGCCGGCAUGGAGCCCGAGUUCCUGGAGCGUUUCAAGGAGGCCGUGAGGAGCUUUGGACUGGUUGUGAGCCGGGCUCCUCAGGUGGACAUCCUCCGCCACCCUUCCACGGCUGGAUUUCUCAGUCACUGCGGCUGGAACUCCAUCCUCGAGAGCGUAGCAUCCGCGGUGCCCAUGCUUUGCUGGCCGUGCGUCGCGGAGCAGAAUCUAAACUGCAAGUUGAUAGUGGAGGACUGGAAGAUCGGUCUCAAGUUCUCGUGCGUGACCAUGCCGGAUCCUCCCGAGGUGAUGGCGAGGGACGAGUUUGUGGAGGUGGUGGAGCGAUUCAUGGGAACUGACAGUGAGCAUUUGAGGAUUAACGUGAAGAAGCUGAGCGAGGAGGCUCGUAGAGCAGUGUCUAGUGGUGGCUCCUCAUAUGAAAACCUGGAGAGAUUUGCUCAAGCAGUGAAAAUUUCCUAAACUUCAAUCCAAAGCUAAGAGAAAACUUCAAAGCAUCUACUCUAUUCAAGAAUAUACUACAGUUCUUUCUCUCUCUCUCUGAAGAUAAGCACGCGCUUUGCGCGUAUAAUGGGUUCCAAGGUCAAUGUUGUCGCAAUUCCUCUCCCAGCUCAAGGCCACAUCUCUCCACUCUUGCAUCUCUGCCAAGCUCUCACUUUCAUCCUUUGGGGGAUGCUAUCUCCGAAACACACAACCAUGAGGGAAUGUGCUGGACUUUGUCACGUGCAAGAACCCAUGGCCAAUGUGCUAGUGUAGACUCCAAGGUGAUGCCUUAUGUCAGAAACUGAUGCAAAAAGAAGAAACUAAAGAAAAACAAAAAAAAUAAUAAUAAGAAGAAAGAGAGUGUAAAGUUCUGGAGUCAAAAGGGAACCAUAUGAGGAAAUUUGAUAAAAGAACUAAACACUAAAAAAUGGAAAAACAAAAAGUGAAAAAAACUAAAGAGCAAGGAACAGCUUAAAGAAGAGCUCUAGAGGCCAGUUAUAAUGGCCAUUUGUCUCAAGUUGGUCCCUGGCAUAGAGCCUGAGUUCCUGGAGGCUUUCAAGGCUCUCCUUGAAAGUGAUCAGCUUUGGACUGGUUGUGAGCUGGGCUCCUCAACCGGAAAUCCUCCAGCAUCCUUCCACAGGCUGCGAGAGUGUAUCUUCAGCAGUGCCAAUCCUUUGCUGGUCAUGAGUUGCCGAGCAGAAUCUCAACUGCAAGCUUAUAGUGGAAAACUGGAAGAUCGAUCUUAAGUUCUCACCCAUGAGAGAUCCUUGCAAGGUGGUGGCAGGGAUGAGUUUGUGGAGGUGGUGGAGCAACUCAUGGGAGCUGAGAGUGGCGAUUCCUUUAGAUGUAAUGUGAAGGAGCUCAGCGAGGCUGCUCAGGGAGCAACAGUGAAAGAAGUCAAGAUCUUCAUAUGAAAGUUUGGACAAGUUUGUCAAGUUUCAUAAGGUAAUUUAUAUCCAAUGCCGCAGCUGGUGGCAGGACGAUCAUCGGGCAUGAGGGCGGGGCCAAUGCACAGACAGACCAACCACCAAGAGCACAUAAAGAUGAUACUUGAAAGUGUAUAGGUUGGUGGAAGUGUUAUUUUCCUUCCCAAAGAAAUAGAUGGCGUAAUCAAGAGGAGUAAAACAUUCCUGAAGGAGAACACUAGAUUAAAACCUUUGCAAAACGCACUGAUUCUUAAGCUCAGCCUUGGAGCGAUUUCAAGCUUAUCCAGAAAAGGUAUUGUGAGAAACGGCAGCACCUUCCAGAGCACUCACGAAGUAAGCUUGAAUUUUCUUUGUUCUUCGUCAAUGGGUUCUUCUACUGGUGCCGAGGGGCUCGCUCCUCACGCAGCGGUUCUUCCCAUUCCAACGCUACGCCACAUCACUCCAUUCCUCCAUCUCUCCAGAGCUCUGGCCUCGCGAGGCUUCGUCAUAACUUUCAUCAACACGGAGGGCAACCACAGGGACCUGAAGGACAUCGUUUCACAGGAGGAGAGCUUUGGCUAUGGCGGCGGCAUUCGCUUCGAGACGGUCCCGGGCAUCCAAGCGAGCGACGUCGACUUCGCGGUCCCGGAGAAGCGGGGGAUGUUCUCCGAGGCAGUGAUGGAGAUGCAGGCUCCAGUGGAAAGCUUGCUCAUCAGGAACAUGGCCAGAGACGAUGAUCUCGUUCCUCCGGUCUCGUGCUUCAUCUCGGAUAUGUUCCCGUGGUCCGCGGAAGUAGCAAGAAGGACUGGAAUCCCAGAGGUCAAGUUCUGGAUCGCCAGUGCCUCUUGCGUUUUGCUCGAUUGCUCGUUUCCGCGAAUGCUGGAGAAGGGAGACGUUCCAGUCCAAGGUAAAGCUUCUUUCUUCUUUUUUAUUUGUCCUUCUUUCGAGAAGCACUAACGUGUUCCGCCAGAUCGUUCCAUUGAAAAGUACAUCACUUACGUAGACGGCUUGUCACCACUGCCAAUCUGGGGCCUCCCGCGCGACCUUUCUGCCAUUGACGAAUCAAGAUUCGCUGGCAGAUACGCUAGAGCCAAGAGCUUCGCCACAACGUCGUGGGUUUUGGUCAACUCGUUCGAAGAACUCGAGGGCAGUGCCACCUUCCAAGCCCUCCGAGACAUCUCUCCCAAAGCAAUCGCUGUGGGUCCUCUUUUCACCAUGGCCCCCGGCUGCAACAAGGCAAGCUUGUGGAAGGAAGACACCGAGAGUUUAUCCUGGCUCGGCAAGCAAAGUCCCGGCUCGGUUCUCUACAUUUCCUUGGGCACCAUCGCGACUCUCAGCUUCGAUCAGUUCAAGGAGUUCUCCGAGGGACUGAGGCUUCUCCAGCGUCCGUUUAUCUGGGCCAUCCGACCCAAGUCGGUCGCCGGCAUGGAGCCCGAGUUCCUGGAGCGUUUCAAGGAGGCCGUGAGGAGCUUUGGACUGGUUGUGAGCCGGGCUCCUCAGGUGGACAUCCUCCGCCACCCUUCCACGGCUGGAUUUCUCAGUCACUGCGGCUGGAACUCCAUCCUCGAGAGCGUAGCAUCCGCGGUGCCCAUGCUUUGCUGGCCGUGCGUCGCGGAGCAGAAUCUAAACUGCAAGUUGAUAGUGGAGGACUGGAAGAUCGGUCUCAAGUUCUCGUGCGUGACCAUGCCGGAUCCUCCCGAGGUGAUGGCGAGGGACGAGUUUGUGGAGGUGGUGGAGCGAUUCAUGGGAACUGACAGUGAGCAUUUGAGGAUUAACGUGAAGAAGCUGAGCGAGGAGGCUCGUAGAGCAGUGUCUAGUGGUGGCUCCUCAUAUGAAAACCUGGAGAGAUUUGCUCAAGCAGUGAAAAUUUCCUAAACUUCAAUCCAAAGCUAAGAGAAAACUUCAAAGCAUCUACUCUAUUCAAGAAUAUACUACAGUUCUUUCUCUCUUUCUCUGAAGAUAAGCACGCGCUUUGCGCGUAUAAUGGGUUCCAAGGUCAAUGUUGUCGCAAUUCCUCUCCCAGCUCAAGGCCACAUCUCUCCACUCUUGCAUCUCUGCCAAGCUCUCACUUUCAUCCUUUGGGGGAUGCUAUCUCCAAAACACACAACCAUGAGGGAAUGUGCUGGACUUUGUCACGUGCAAGAACCCAUGGCCAAUGUGCUAGUGUAGACUCCAAGGUGAUGCCUUAUGUCAGAAACUGAUGCAAAAAGAAGAAACUAAAGAAAAACAAAAAAAAUAAUAAUAAGAAGAAAGAGAGUGUAAAGUUCUGGAGUCAAAAGGGAACCAUAUGAGGAAAUUUGAUAAAAGAACUAAACACUAAAAAAUGGAAAAACAAAAAGUGAAAAAAACUAAAGAGCAAGGAACAGCUUAAAGAAGAGCUCUAGAGGCCAGUUAUAAUGGCCAUUUGUCUCAAGUUGGUCCCUGGCAUAGAGCCUGAGUUCCUGGAGGCUUUCAAGGCUCUCCUUGAAAGUGAUCAGCUUUGGACUGGUUGUGAGCUGGGCUCCUCAACCGGAAAUCCUCCAGCAUCCUUCCACAGGCUGCGAGAGUGUAUCUUCAGCAGUGCCAAUCCUUUGCUGGUCAUGAGUUGCCGAGCAGAAUCUCAACUGCAAGCUUAUAGUGGAAAACUGGAAGAUCGAUCUUAAGUUCUCACCCAUGAGAGAUCCUUGCAAGGUGGUGGCAGGGACGAGUUUGUGGAGGUGGUGGAGCAGCUCAUGGGAGCUGAGAAUGGCGAUUCCUUUAGAUGUAAUGUGAAGGAGCUCAGCGAGGCUGCUCAGGGAGCAACAGUGAAAGAAGGCAGGAUCUUCAUAUGAAAGUUUGGACAAGUUCGUCAAGUUUCAUAAGGUAAUUUAUAUCCAAUGCCGCAGCUGGUGGCAGGACGAUCAUCGGGUAUGAGGGCGGGGCCAAUGCACAGACAGACCAACCACCAAGAGCACAUAAAGAUGAUACUUGAAAGUGUAUAGGUUGGUGGAAGUGUUAUUUUCCUUCCCAAAGAAAUAGAUGGCAUAAUCAAGAGGACUAAAAAAUUCCUGAAGGAGAACACUAGAAUAAAACCUUUGCAAAACGCACUGAUUCUUAAGCUCAGCCUUGGAGCCAGAAAGAAACGGCAGCACCUUCAUGAAGUAAGCUUGAAUUUCCUUUGUUCUUCGUCAAUGGGUUCUUCUACUGGUGCCGAGGGGCUCGCUCCUCACGCAGCGGUUCUUCCCAUUCCAACUCUAGGCCACAUCACUCCAUUCCUCCAUCUCUCUAGAGCUCUGGCCUCGCGAGGCUUCGUCAUAACUUUUAUCAACACGGAGGGCAACCACAGGGACUUGAAGGACAUCGUUUCACAGGAGGAGAGCUUUGGCUCUGGUGGCAGCAUUCGUUUCGAGACGGUCCCCGGGGUCCAAACGAGCGAGGCCGACUUCACGGCCCCGGAGACGCGGCCAAUGUUCUUCGAGGCAUUGAUGGCGAUGCAGGGUCCAGUGGAGAGCUUGCUCGUCAGGAGCAUGGCAAGAGACGAUGAUCUCGUUCCUCCGGUCUCAUGCUUCAUCUCGGAUAUGUUGUUCCCGUGGUCCACGGAAGUACCCAGAAGGAUCGGAAUCCCAGAGGUCAAGUUCUGGGUCGCCAGUGCUUCUUGCGUUUUGCUCUACUCCUCGUAUCCCCAAAUGCUGGAGAAGGGAGACAUUCCAGUCCAAGGUAAAGCUGCUUUCUUCUUUUUUAUUUUUCCUUCUUUCGAGAAGCACUGACGUCCAUAUACGUGUUCCACCAGAUCGUUCCAUUGAGAAGCGCAUAACUUACGUAGACGGCUUGUCACCACUACCAAUGUGGAGCCUCCCGGGCGACUUUUCUGCCAGUGACGACGACCCGGGAUUCGCUCGCGGAUACGCCAGAGCCAAGAGCUUCGCCACAACGUCGUGGGUUUUGGUCAACUCGUUCGAAGAACUCGAGGGCAGUGCCACCUUCCAAGCUCUCCGAGACAUCUCUCCCAAAGCAAUCGCAGUGGGUCCACUUUCCACCAUGGUCCCCGGCUCCAGCAAUGCAAGCUUGUGGACGGA
rnacentral:lncRNA from 1 species